CUCUAGUCCCUAAAAGCAAUUUUGCAACUACAAUAUAAAGUGAUUUUGCCAAUGCAAAAUGGAGUGCAUGCUUGUGUUGAAUUAGCCUAUUGAUAAAGGUUUCAAAGGAAUUCUCUAAGGAAGAAACGAUUCAACUAAAGAAAAGUACAAGAAACUAACUCUUUGAAGUUUGAACUAUUUCUCACAGUAUUUAUGUGGUAUAUAUGGAAUUAAGCUGACCACCUGUGUCAUAUAAGGAUCCUUGCAUUGCAAUCAAUGGAGGAAAGCAUAACAAGUUGGUAUGUGUCAAUAUUUUUUACUGCAGGUGGAUGUAUAAGAAUCAUAUAGCACUAGAUUUUUGUUGAUAAUUAUAAAUGCAAAUCUUGGAUUUAGUAACUGAAUACAGGUGGCCUCUCUGGUAUGCAGUCUAAAAACUUGUGGUGGUGAUUGUUGAUAGCUCUUUCAGACAAUAUUAUUAUGUAACAGGUAUGCUCUGUACUGAGAACCUUGAAAGAUAUUUUCAUUCAUGCUUGUUGAGAUACC
rnacentral:lncRNA from 1 species